rnacentral:rRNA from 1 species
CAUGUAGGCGGCAUGACAAGUCUGGUGUGAAAUAUCUCGGCUCAACCGAGAAAACGCACUGGAAACUGUCAAGCUUGAGUAUCGGAGGGGAAGCUAGAAUUCCUGGUGUAGGGGUGAAAUCUGUAGAUAUCAGGAAGAAUACAGGUGGCGAAGGCGAGCUUCUGGCCAGAUACUGACGCUGAGAUGCGAAAGCGUGGGGAGCGAACAGGAUUAGAUACCCUGGUAGUCC